AUGUACGCGUUUGUAUCACUGUGGUACACUUUCGGCAGCGGCACCAAACUGGAUGUUGGCACCGUCUCUCCUCCUCAAGUGAGCGUCCUGACGCCCUCCAGUGCAGAGAUCUCCUCCAAGCGGACGGCUACACUGCUGUGUGUGGCCAACAAGGGCUUCCCGUCUGACUGGAGGCUGGUCUGGAAGGUGUCCGGCGGCAGCAGCAGCAGCGGGGGUCAGGAGAGCAGAAGUGCUGGGCUCCUGGAGAAGGACGGUCUGUACAGCUGGAGCAGCAGCCUGACUCUCACUGAGCAGCAGUGGAUGGAGAGCGACUCAGUGAGCUGUGAGGCCACACGGAGCGGCCAGCCUGCGCACACUGUAGAAUACACUGUGAAGAGACCGCAGUGUUCAGAGUAGAUCUGCAGCACACACACCACAUCUGUGUGUCUCUCUGUGUGUGUGUGUGUGCUUUACUCACAUUCACUGCACUUCAGCACACACACACUUGGCUGUGUUUCAGUCUCUCUGUGUGCUCUGCUCUGCUUUCUGUCUUUCACAGCAGACUAAAUGUGUGGAGUUUCUUAUUCUGUCAUCAUUUGAUUGUAAUUCAGUCAAUAAAUA